rnacentral:rRNA from 1 species
AUUGAACGCUGGCGGCAUGCCUUACACAUGCAAGUCGAGCGGCAGCACGGGUGCUUGCACCUCGUGGCGAGUAGCGAACGGGUGAGUAAUACAUCGGAACAUGUCCUGUAGUGGGGGAUAGCCCGGCGAAAGCCGGAUUAAUACCGCAUACGAUCUACGGAUGAAAGCGGGGGCCCUUCGGGCCUCGCGCUAUCGGGUUGGCCGAUGGCUGAUUAGCUAGUUGGUGGGGUAAAGGCCUACCAAGGCGACGAUCAGUAGCUGGUCUGAGAGGACGACCAGCCACACUGGGACUGAGACACGGCCCAGACUCCUACGGGAGGCAGCAGUGGGGAAUUUUGGACAAUGGGCGAAAGCCUGAUCCAGCAAUGCCGCGUGUGUGAAGAAGGCCUUCGGGUUGUAAAGCACUUUUGUCCGGAAAGAAAUCCUUGGCUCUAAUACAGUCGGGGGAUGACGGUACCGGAAGAAUAAGCACCGGCUAACUACGUG